rnacentral:rRNA from 1 species
CCUACGUGGUGCAGCAGUGAGGAAUAUUGGUCAAUGGGCGCGAGCCUGAACCAGCCAAGUAGCGUGAAGGAUGACUGCCCUACGGGUUGUAAACUUCUUUUAUAAAGGAAUAAAGUGAGGCACGGGUGCCUUUUUGUAUGUAUUUUAUGAAGAAGGAUCGGCUAACUACGUGCAAGCAGCCGCGGUAAUACGGAGGAUCCGAGCGUUGUCCGGAUUUAUUGGGUUUAAAGGGAGCGUAGAUGGGUUGUUAAGUCAGUUGUGAAAGUUUGCGGCUCAACCGUAAAAUUGCAAUUGAUACUGGCAGCCUUGAGUACAGUUGAGGUAGGCGGAAUUCGUGGUGUAGCGGUGAAAUGCUUAGAUAUCACGAAGAACUCCGAUUGCGAAGGCAGCCUACUAAACUGCCACUGACAUUGAUGCUCGAAAGUGUGGGUAUCAAACAGGAUUAGAUACCCUUGUAGUC